ACCUAAAAAGCAAACAAGGCACGCAAUUACUGGGUCUAUUCUUCUAGGUCGAGCUUGAUGUCUCUCCCAUCUCCACCGGUAAUUGGGUCGUAGCCACCUCCGGCCCCUCUCUCCCAUCUCCACCGACAGCAACUGAGCGUGGUCAUCUGCAGAUCUAUUCUAGGUCAAGCCCCCCUCUCUGCCAUCUCCCCUAACCCCAUCCCAAACCGCUACUCCCUCUUGCCACUGCUGUUCCUUGCCGUCGUGACCAUCCCUUGCCACCGUCGUCGUCACCAGCCCUUGCCAACGCCACCUAAAACCUCCAUUGUGUAUCUCUUUUGUUAGGUUUUUUGAACAGUCUCUCUAAACCCAAUCUCACCAAUAUGCCUCCACUUUUGAUGGGCUGUGACAUUGUUGGGCGCAAGCUCCUCGGACAUUGUCUCUUGCAGAUCCCUUCACGCCAAGCAGGAGAGUGUAGAGUAUUUACUAAAUUGGAGUUAACAGAGAAACUUUUAGACAUUGCAUCUCUUUUGGGCAAAUCAACAGGUUUGUGCCUUUUUGUUUUAAGAGCCAAAAUGCUGCAAACAAUCUUGCAGAAAACAGAAUUUAUAGGUCCCAAGGGAAGCAAGCACUUGCAUGAUUGUUCCUUUUUUGGUUCAUGGAACACCUAAUCUAACAUUUGCCAAUUCAGCUGGGUCAAUUUGAAAUGAGAACUAUGCAUUAUUUUUUGCUGCUGAAAGCCUUGACACCCGUGAUAUUUCACGAAAUUGACAUGUUAACUUAGUAAUUUUGGUGGUGGCUCCAAUUUAUUUGCUUAUGAGGUCCCAUUCUAAAUGAUAAAAUUCAUGCUUUAAAUAUUGUAUGAAGUUAUAUAUGAAAAAUGAGAAUUCUCUGAGAAAUUUUCAUGCUCUACACUGCAGGAUGAUUAUGACAAAUUGGUAGCACAUCCUCGUCGCUUGCGGCAUGAAUCAACUGUAAGUGAAGUUCUUUCAGGACUGUCAUUUAUCAAAUUGUCUUACUAAAAAACUCCACAAUAGUCGAAGGUUGUCAGCAAAGUCAACGUACUGAUUUUAUAUUUAUUUCAUUCCAGUAGCCUUGUGGGCUUUGUGUUUGUAUUUAUCUUUCCUUUUGCGUACCUUUUCUUACAGAAUUUUUUUAGACCUUUUUAUUUGUAAUUGUGUAUACUGGGAAUUCAUAAUGAAUGAUUUCUUAAUUCAAUGUUUAUUUGAUAAAAUACUAUUUGAUAUGGUUUUAGAUU